GCGGAGCUGCGGGGUGCGUCAGGAGUUAACAUUCCCCGGGGCCUUACGAUUCCUUAGGGAGCUGUCCCUGCCGGACCCGUGGGUUCGGACACAUGGCGCCCACCUACUUCUGUAGGUUCCCGGGAUCACGACUCCAACGGCUUUUGCGGCCCCGCA
rnacentral:other from 2 species